rnacentral:rRNA from 1 species
UACGGGGGGGGCAAGCGUUGUUCGGAAUUACUGGGCGUAAAGGGCUCGUAGGUGGCCAACUAAGUCAGACGUGAAAUCCCUCGGCUUAACCGGGGAACUGCGUCUGAUACUGAUUGGCUUGAGUGUGGGAGAGGGAUGCGGAAUUCCAGGUGUAGCGGUGAAAUGCGUAGAUAUCUGGAGGAACACCGGUGGCGAAGGCGGCAUCCUGGACCACGACUGACGCUGAGGAGCGAAAGCCAGGGGAGCAAACGGG